UCUUCAGAAGCAAGGAAAGUGGCUGCUGGCAUAACUGCCUGGUGAUCAGGUUGCUUAGCUGGAAGUGGAGAGAGGGAUGGGGAUCUCCUUCAGUUCAGGAAGAGACAGAAAUCGAACCCAGGUCUUCAACUUCCUGAUACCAGUACAGAAAAGCAGAUAUUUUUCCUGGGCAGACUUUAAAAUGGAUGCUUCCUGAAAAAGCUUCCAUAGGAGAUCUGCAAGGCCUUUGCAUUAAACAAAUAUAUCCCAUACGCCAUUUUGAUGGAAAAAAAAGGUCAAAGAAUCAUCUGUGCUGAUGAGCAACUCACCUGAGAGGUCAUUUCUAUGAAGGGUUGUGCUUCCAUGACUGCAGCGAGGCAGGUCUGGAUCUGGCAGAAAGAGAUGGCCCUGGGAAGGAGUUCAGAGGCAGGCUCAGUGCACACGGGGGUGGAGGGCAAAGAACACCCUGCCUGCAACAUCUUCUACCCACUCAGCUCUUUGGGUACAGUUUCAGAGGACUGGCGUCAUAGGGCUUUAGAAAGGGGACAUAUUUCUGUGACAUUUUGCUUGCCUAAGUUCAUGCUCGCCUGAAGACCUUCUAGAUCAUUGGUGUAUGCUUUAUACCCUUAACACACCACUUCCAAAUUAGGCCAAGGCUAUAGUCAUCCUGUACUGAUAGUGUACAUAGUCCUUCAUCCCAAGAGCUGAGUGCUUUAUACAUCCAGAUAACAAAUUUCCAAAACAUUCCUACAGAUAUUUAUUCUAUUAAAGUGCAAAUGACAGUGGAAACUUCCACAGGGUUAUAUAUAUCAAUUCAGGCAAAUGGCAAGAAGAAAAUGAAAAAAUCUCACUCUAUGGUCUGUGCAACACCAGUGGCCAAUGCUUUCACGUUGUUAUAUCAUGGCAUGUGUAUUUAAUAGAGAAAUAGGAAUAAAAUCAGCCAUUAACAAUCACAACACACUUUUGAUAAGAAUUUCUGUUUAUGCAUGUUUGUUACUAGCAUUUAGCUGCUAUAGCAACAGGCACUUUAUAAAUGAGUAAAGUCGAGAAAAGAAACAUUCCCAGUAUUAAUUGAGCUUCAUUGAAGUAAAGAUCAUUUCUGCACUCUAGUGCUGGAUCUUUUCUUCUAGGUGAAACUGUGGAGAGCUUUAAUUCAUGGUUUAUUUAUCUUAGGAUGAUUUGUUUAAAUGAUGAUAUUUUGAACUAGAUUUUAUUAAAUGGCGUCGUAGUUGCUCCUUGCCUUUGGCAUGUAAGAGAAUGUGUGUUCAUGAUGGAUUUGAAUUACUUCAUCAUAAUUCCACAUUUAAAUGUAAGCAAGUGAUGAGCCAGAAUCAUGGCAUAUAUGUGCUCUAAAUUGUCUAUAUUUGGAUCUGCACUUUCAGUGGACAGGAUGAGUAAUAACAAGCAUAAGACGAGGGAGUGGGAGACUUCAGUGUGACCACAGAAAAAAAAUUCUAUUGAUGUGUGUACAGAGCAUUGAACUUGGUUGCCUAGAGCAGUUGUAGCAUUUUCAACACAACAUUUUUGUAAAGAAAAGGUUAAACAAC